AGUUCUUCCAUAAAGUGGACUCGAUGGCCACUCCAGUCACAGAUGCUGAGAAACUCAUUUCGAGUGUCUUGGAAGCAGAACGCCCAACAAUAAGGUUCUUUUUCUACUUUCCUGUCUCUUUUUUGUGCCUGUACAUAUUUAGCAUUAAAUUAACUAUUUUCUUUCCUUCUUUCUUCUUUUUUUUCUUUCUCUUUUAAUAGUAUUUUGGAUGAGAAAUCUCUGAUCGAGGCGACCAAGAUUUUCUUAGAGAAACAUAAAGAUUCCUUAAUGCACAGAGUUGCUGCUGUAGAACUACUGUAUGCUUUACAACCUGACAAGAAAGUUGAGGCUAUUAAGCUAAUUGAGGACGCAACAAACAAUCCGGUGCCAAGAAACGGAGCACUUGGGCCAAUCAGGGAAUGGACACUUGAGGACUGUGUCCGAGUCCACAAACUCCUAGAAACAGUUCUUCUUGACCAUGAUGCUGCUUUAAGAUGGAAGGAGCAAUGUGCCAAGUACUCUCCUUACUCCACAUACUUUGAGGGCAGACUCAGCUCUGCCAUGCCUAACUCUGUGUACAACCAAAGUAACAACUCAGAAAAUGGAAACCAUUUGAUAGUUGGACAAACUGCAGAAUCUCUUGCAUCAAACGGUAAGCUCGAGGCAUUUAAAGAUCUUACCAUCUGACUAUGAUGUUGAGGCCGAUGUUCAGUUAAAACAUUUUUAGAGUUGCAAUCUCUUGUAUUAUUAUCCCUUAAUUUGGCUGAAUUUCCUUCUCCAGAGGUUGCAACAAUAAUUACUGGACAAGCCUAGUACUCUUCCAUUUGAUGAGGAGGCUGGAAAUUAUGUAAAAGAUGAUGUAUGGCCUGCCCUUAUUGUUGAGACAAGCAAUGCUUCUGAUCUCCAUGGAUAUACUGUCAGGGCUUUAUACAGGGCAUUCUAACAUCAUCUGAACAGGCUGAUAUGACCAUGUUAGAAGACGAACGACCAACAAAAAGAUGACUUUCAUCAGCCCUUGUCAAGCUGGUCUUCUUAGGAUAUUUGUUGGUGGUGUGGAUACCUCUGCAACUGAGACAAAAGGAACAGUUCUAAUUCAUAGUGCUGACCAGCUAGAAAAUUAUGCGAAAACUGAAGAAGCUAAAGUUGAGGAGCUUAUAAAGGCAGUUGCUGAUUCCGGUGCCAAAGUAAUUGUUAGUGGAGCAGCAGUUGGGGAGAUGGCACUUCAUUUCUGUGAGCGCUACAAGUCACUGUUGUGAAGAAUGAAGAAGGUGGGAACUCUGUAACCACUGUUUUAUUGCGAGGAACCACAGAUAGCAUUUUAGAUGACAUUGAAAGAGCAGUUGAUGAUGGAGUAAAUACUUACAAAGUAAUUUGGACUAGUUUUGCUUUGUGUAUCGAUCUUUAUUUAGAAGCAGCAUUAGGUAUCUUUAAUUGUCUAUUACAAUCUUCUUAGGAUGGUAUGACCGUGUGAUCCAUACAGAGUAGGUUUUUUGAUAGUACUUGUUGCAUCAGACUUAUGAAUUGGAAACUUAUCUACCCCACUAACCAUUCUUACCGGGCACUUUUCCUGUUAGGCUAUGUGUAGGGAUAGCCGAAUGGUUCCUGGUACAGCUGCUAUUGAAAUUGAAUUAGCUAAGAGAGUGAAAGAGUAUUCAUUUAAAGAAACAGGGUAAUUUUUUUGUUUCCACUUUUGUUUUUUUUUUCCCCAGUUUUUGUUUGUCUUGUUUCCCAUAACCUAACUCUAAACACAUUUCCCACUUCCAACUUAGAAAGAAAGAGAAACUUUGGGAGAAUAAGAGGAAUAGCAUGGGCUUCAUAAAGGACCUGUAAUAACCAUAUUCACAUUCUACUUGUUAAUUUGGAUGCCCUACUUGAUGCCUUGUUGGUUACCUAUCACAGAGAGAAUUUUGCCAAAGCUACUUACACAUCAAUGCUAUGUUUGUAUUGAACUUUACAGAAAGGAAUUAACCUUGCUAGGUCUUUAGAGAAGAAAUAAAUGGGGAUAGAAGUUAGUACAAACUGUAUGAAUUUUUUCUUCAUAUUGGUUCUUCUUAUGGAAUAUAGGGUGAUAAAUUAGUUAGUAUGAAUUGUCCUUUCCCUUUCUUUUUCUCCUGAGUUGCAUAGGUCUGGUUUCCUGGUUUCCUUUACUCUCAAAUGUGAUAAGUUUCAAUUCUUGUAUUUAAUGACCUUAUUUGUUUUAUUUUUCCUCUGAAAUUAGUUUCUCUCUAUGUUCUUUGUUCUUUUUGUUUUUCUUGAUUUAUAUUAUUUCUUUAUGGGAGUGAUUUUAGUAACAAUAAGAAACUAGCUUUUGGUGUUGAAGAGAACGACUUUCUGAUCAUCCCUUGGUCAUUUGUUUCUAUGUUUUCUGCUUUUGCAGUAGCAAUUGAAUCUUGCUGUUCUAUGCUUUUUAUGUGUUGAUAAUUGAGUAACACUUUUAUUUUUUGAACAUGUCAGUACGUCAGAGCUGUCUUUCUACAUUUAUGCUUCGUACUUCCUAGAAAUUUCAUGAUCUUCCUAUGCAUGCAGGUUCUGAGUUUUUCUCUGUUUGUGCUAGGAUUGGAUCUUUAAAUUAAUGCUCUUUAAAUUAAUACAUGCAGGUUCUGAGUUUUUCUCUGUAUUUCUUGUUUAAUUUUAGAGGGAAGAAGCAAUAUGUGUUUGUUGCUUCAGUCGUUGUUUUGCAUGGUAUAUUGAGAUGAUUUCUUUGGAGCAAUUCUUGACAACAUUUGUAGUUGAGGCCUUUAGAAUGGAAGAAUGUAUUUCACUAAUUUUUGUAUACAUUUCUUGUUUUGUAUUUAGUGAUAAAGGAAUCUGAAUUAGGCAUAAAUUAUGUUGUAA